AAGCCCUUGUUCUAUAGAUUUGUCUCUAACAUGUUGGGUCUCGGGGGGCUUCCUCUAGAGACUUGGAUGUAAGGGGCUUUACGCAUUCGCAUAACUUAUGAAGUGUGGAUGACUCUAGGAGGGGUCUGAGAAUGUGCUGUGCCAGCCAGGCUGAUAAUUGUUUAAUUGUUAGCUUGGACUUGUACACAGUCUCAUCAGUCUUCAGCUUGGGUCAUUGAUAUUCUGUAAGUCAAAACUUAUCGAUUCACUGUAGUAGGUUGCGGAGGACUUGAAAGUUCUCUCUGCAAUUGAGACACUUACCAGGCCAUCGCAAGUUGGCAGUGUACACUACUGAUUUUACGGUCGUGGGGGACUUGGGAGCUGGUGCUUGUGUCGCAUGAGGUAGAGUUGAUAUGGAUGGAUGGAAGAGAAGCAUAUGUAUGUCGUGGGGGACUUGGGGUAAGACGCCUUGCGGCAAGUAGAGUCAAACCAGUAGUGACUUCUUUUGGUCAUGGGGGACUUUGGUAAUGGUAGUGAGCCGGAAUAAGGGAUGGAUAAAUGUAGUAUGGAUGGUGACAGGGGGAGCAGCAGAGCGUACGCAGUGGGUAUGUAUAUAGUUGAAAAGGGAUGGGCAGUAGAAUUUUGAGGAAUUAAUGACCUAAGGGUGGUUCUAAUAGGCUUGUCAAGAAAAAAGUUAAGUUGAAUCAAGCUGGGUCAAGCAAAGUCUAGAAAAGAUUUAUUG
rnacentral:rRNA from 1 species